rnacentral:rRNA from 1 species
CUACGGGGGGCUGCAGUGGGGAAUAUUGCACAAUGGAGGAAACUCUGAUGCAGCAACGCCGCGUGGAGGAUGACACUUUUCGGAGCGUCCCCUCCUUUUCUAUAGGAAGAAGAUGACGGUACUAUAUGAAUAAGCGCCGGCUAACUCCGUGCCAGCAGCCGCGGUAAUACGGAGGGCGCAAGCGUUACUCGGAAUCACUGGGCGUAAAGAGCGUGUAGGCGGAUUAAAAAGUCAGAAGUGAAAUCCUAUAGCUUAACUAUAGAACUGCUUCUGAAACUCUUAAUCUAGAAUAUGGGAGAGGUAGAUGGAAUUUCUGGUGUAGGGGUAAAAUCCGUAGAGAUCAGAAGGAAUACCGAUUGCGAAGGCGAUCUACUAGAACAUUAUUGACGCUGAGACGCGAAAGCGUGGGGAGCAAACAGGAUUAGAUACCCCGGUAGUC